rnacentral:rRNA from 1 species
AUGGAGAAUGAAUUGUUGAAGCUUUGGUCAAUGGUUGAAGAGAGCAAGUCUGCUAGGGUGAAUGAUAAUCUUGAAAGUGCUUUAACUAUUCAACAUUUGACAGAAGAAAAGAACAAGCUGGAUGCAGACUAUGACAAGUUAGUGAAAGAUGUGCAUCAACUUGUGGAUAUGCAGGAGGAGAGGGUUGUGGAUUUUAGUUGUCUGUAG